UACGUAGGGUGCAAGCGUUAAUCGGAAUUACUGGGCGUAAAGCGUGCGCAGGCGGUUUUGUAAGUCUGAUGUGAAAGCCCUGGGCUCAACCUGGGAAUUGCAUUGGAUACUGGCAGGCUAGGGUGCGGUAGAGGGUAGUGGAAUUCCCGGUGUAGCAGUGAAAUGCGUAGAGAUCGGGAGGAACAUCCGUGGCGAAGGCGACUACCUGGACCAGCACUGACACUGAGGCACGAAAGCGUGGGGAGCAAACAGG
rnacentral:rRNA from 1 species